rnacentral:rRNA from 1 species
GAAAGUAAGCAAGGGCAGACGGUGGAUGCCUUGGCUCUCGGAGGCGAUGAAGGACGUGAUAAGCUGCGAUAAGCUUGGGGUAGGUGCAAAUAACCUUUGAUCCCAAGAUUUCCGAAUGGGGCAACCCGGCUGGUAGAAGGCCAGUCAUUCCGUAAGGAAGGCGAACGUGGGGAACUGAAACAUCUAAGUACCCAUAGGAGAAGAAAACAAAAGUGAUUCCGCAAGUAGUGGCGAGCGAACGCGGAACAGCCCAAACCGAUGAUGUUUAGGCAUUGUCGGGGUAGUAGGACCACGUUGUGGCAAGAGAUUAAGGAAGUAGAACGUUUUGGAACAAACGGCCGUAGACGGUGAAAGCCCGGUAUACGACUCUUUAACGAAGCCUAGUGGAAUCCUGAGUAGCGCGGAGCACGAGAAAUUCUGUGUGAAUCAGCGGGGCCCAUCCCGUAAGGCUAAAUACUCCCGAGAGACCGAUAGCGAACCAGUACUGUGAAGGAAAGGUGAAAAGCACCUCGAACAGAGGAGUGAAAUAGUCCCUGAAACCGUCUGCCUACAAGCGGUCGGAGCAACGUAAGUUGUGACGGCGUGCCUUUUGCAUAAUGAACCUACGAGUUACUUUCUCCGGCAAGGUUAAGGGCUUCAGGCCCGGAGCCGAAGCGAAAGCGAGUCUUAAUAGGGCGUGAUAGUCGGAGUGAGUAGACGCGAAACCAAGUGAUCUACCCUUGGUCAGGAUGAAGGUUGGGUAACACCAACUGGAGGUCCGAAUGGGUAUACGUUGAAAAGUGUUCCAAUGAACUGAGGGUAGGGGUGAAAGGCUAAUCAAACUUGGAGAUAGCUCGUACUCCCCGAAAUGCAUUUAGGUGCAGCCUUUAUUUAGUAUAGUAUGAGGUAGAGCGACUGAUUGGAUGCGAGGGCUUCACCGCCUAUCAAGUCCAGAUAAACUCCGAAUGCGUGCUAUAUAUUGAUAAGGAGUGAGGGCGCGGGUGCUAAGGUCCGCGUCCGAGAGGAGAAGAAUCCAGACCAUCAGCUAAGGUCCCCAAAUAACAGUUAAGUUGAACUAACGAAGUCGGACUGCAGAGACAGCUAGGAUGUUGGCUUGGAAGCAGCCAUUCAUUUAAAGAGUGCGUAACAGCUCACUAGUCGAGGAGUCCGGCGUGGAUAAUACUCGGGCAUAAACUGUUUACCGAAGCUAUGGAUGUAGAAAUACAUGGUAGGGGAGCAUUCCAACGGCGUCGAAGGUGAAGGAUGACCUUUGCUGGAGCUUUUGGAAACGCAAAUGUAGGUAUAAGUAACGAUAAAGGAGGUGAGAAACCUCCUCGCCGAAAGACUAAGGUUUCCUGAUCAACGUUAAUCGGAUCAGGGUAAGUCGGGACCUAAGGUUAAGCCGAACGGCGAUACCGAUGGAAGAAUGGUUUAAUAUUCCCAUACUACUUUAUGGAGCGAUGUGGAGACGGAGAAGUGAAAGUCCUGCCAUCUGACGGAAUAGGUGGUUGAAGAGUGUAGAUGUAGAUUCCUGUAGGCAAAUCCGCAGGGAGAGUCGACCUUGAUAGUAUGCCGCGUGCUUGCACAAGGCAAAAUGGACGUAAUCAGGCUCCCAAGAAAAUCCGCUAAGCAUAUUCAUAAAGUACCCGUACCGUAAACGGACACACGUAGUUGGGUUGAAAAUACUGAGGCGCUCGAGUGAUUCACGGUUAAGGAACUAGGCAAAUUGACCCUGUAACUUCGGGAUAAAGGGUCCCUACUGAGAGGUAGGGCGCAGAGAAUAGGUCCAGGCAACUGUUUAACAAAAACACAUGGCUGUGCGAAAUAGAAAUAUGAAGUAUACAGCCUGACACCUGCCCGGUGCUGGAAGGUUAAGAGGAGAGCUCAUCGCAAGAGAAGGCUUGAAUUGAAGCCCCAGUAAACGGCGGCCGUAACUAUAACGGUCCUAAGGUAGCGAAAUUCCUUGUCGGGUAAGUUC